rnacentral:rRNA from 1 species
GAUCAUGGCUCAGGAUGAACGCUAGCUACAGGCUUAACACAUGCAAGUCGAGGGGAAACGACAUCGAAAGCUUGCUUUUGAUGGGCGUCGACCGGGCGCACGGGUGAGUAACGCGUAUCCAACCUGCCCACCACUUGGGGAUAACCUUGCGAAAGUAAGACUAAUACCCAAUGAUAUCUCUAGAAGACAUUCUGAAAGGGAUUAAAGAUUUAUCGGUGAUGGAUGGGGAUGCGU